UACGGGGGGGGCAAGCGUUGUUCGGAAUUACUGGGCGUAAAGGGCGCGUAGGCGGCCUUCUAAGUCGGACGUGAAAUCCCCAGGCUCAACCUGGGAACUGCGUCCGAUACUGGAUGGCUUGAAUUCGGGAGAGGGAUGCAGAAUUCCAGGUGUAGCGGUGAAAUGCGUAGAUAUCUGGAGGAAUACCGGUGGCGAAGGCGGCAUCCUGGACCGACAUUGACGCUGAUGAGCGAAAGCUAGGGGAGCAAACGGG
rnacentral:rRNA from 1 species